CUUACGAGAAGAGAAAGCCAAAAGUGCUAAGUAUCAGUCUAUAACUAUUACACAAGUUAGACCAGCAACAUCUGCUAGCUGGCUAGUGCCCACUGUGGGCAGGGGUUGUGGGGCUAAAGGCUCUGGGAUGAGGCUGCUAAUUGCUGCAUUCACCUGGAAAAAGCACUCUAGCAUGUGCUUAUCAAUGUCUACACUAAAGAGGAAGAGGCCCGUUAAGUUUUUUUUUUUUUUAAUCAUGAAUUUGGCUGUGACAGUAGAGUUGAGCUGGGGCUCAGACUUGGACCUCAUGCAUUUAGAUCUUGUGUCCUAGUGCCAGGCUGCCAGGUUUCUUUUAUUUUUCCUCUGAAGCAACUUGCGAAUGAUUUUUUAAUUACAUGGCAUUGCUGAGAAUUCUGUAGUCACAAUAUUAGAGAUGUUACUGGGGGGAGGAAUAAAUAGAGAUUUAAGAAUAGAAUCAUUUUGGCUGGGUGGUGGCACACCCAGUUAAGUGCACAAGUCACCAUGAGUAAGGACCCGGGUUUGAACCCCUGCUCCCCACAUGCAGGGAGGACACUUCAUGAAUAAUAAAGCAGGCCUGCAGGUGCAGGUGCCUCUUUCUCUCUCCAUGUCUAUUUCUCCCUCCCCUCUCAAUUUCUCUCUGUCCUAUCAAAAAAAGGAAAACAUGGCCUCCGGGAACAGUGGAUUCAUAGUGCUGGCACUGAAUCUCAAAAAUAACCCUGGUGAUAGCAACAACAAAAAGAAAAGAGUCGUAUUCCUUCGCCCCUGUUUGGCAGACGAAGUUUUGGAGGCACCAGUUUCCUGUUUCCUGUGGUUAUUGUGCAUCUUCAUUUGACUUUGGUAUAAAAGCAAUGAUGACCUCAUAACAUGAGUUGGAAAGCAUUCAGAAUUCAGGGAUGAUAUGGACUUCUACUAAUUGUUCCAACUGUGGAGAACCCAUAUUCUUCUUUGCUGGGAGUAUGGAUCCACCUGCCAAGACCCAUGUUCAACGGAGAAGCAAUUAUAGAAGCCAGGCCUUCUACCUUCUGCACCCCAUAAUAAUCCUGGGUCCAUACUCCCAAAGGGAUAAAGAAUAGGGAAUCUAUCAAGGGGAGGAGUGGAUACGGACUUCUAGUGGUGGGAAUUGUGGGGAAUUGUACCUCUCUUAUCUUAUAGUCUUGUAAAUAUUUUCAUUUUAUAAAUAAAAAAUUUAAAAAAUA